rnacentral:rRNA from 1 species
ACUCCUACGGGAGGCAGCAGUAGGGAAUAUUGGGCAAUGGAAGCAAUUCUGACCCAGCCAUGCCGCGUGCAGGAAGAAGGCGCUCUGCACUGUAAACUGCUUUUGACAGGGAGCAAAAAGCUCAUGCGUGAGUAAUUGAGAGUACCUGUAGAAUAAGCACCGGCUAACUCCGUGCCAGCAGCCGCGGUAAUACGGGGGGUGCAAGCGUUGUCCGGAUUUAUUGGGUUUAAAGGGUGCGUAGGCGGCCGGGUAAGUCAGAGGUGAAAGACGGUGGCUUAACCAUCGCAGUGCCUUUGAUACUGCCUGGCUUGAGUACAGAUGAGGUGGGCGGAAUAUAUGAAGUAGCGGUGAAAUGCAUAGAUAUCAUAUAGAACCCCGAUUGCGAAGGCAGCUCACUGGGCUGUAACUGACGCUGAGGCACGAAAGCGUGGGGAUCGAACAGGAUUAGAUACCCUGGUAGUCCACGCCGUAAACGAUGAUUACUCGAUGUCAGGGAUACACUCUUGGCGUUGCAAGGGAAACCGGUAAGUAAUCCACCUGGGGGAGUACGCUCGCAA